UACGUAGGGAGCGAGCGUUGUCCGGAAUCAUUGGGCGUAAAGCGCGCGUAGGCGGCCCUGUAAGUCCGCUGUGAAAGUCAAAGGCUCAACCUUUGAAAGCCGGUGGAUACUGCAGGGCUAGAGUCCGGAAGAGGCGAGUGGAAUUCCUGGUGUAGCGGUGGAAUGCGCAGAUAUCAGGAGGAACACCAAUAGCGAAGGCAGCUCGCUGGGACGGUACUGACGCUAAGGCGCGAAAGCGUGGGGAGCGAACAGG
rnacentral:rRNA from 1 species